UACGGAGGGGAUGCAGCGUUAAUCGGAAUUGACUGGACGUAAAGCGCGCGUAGGCGGUUUGAUAAGUCGGAUUGUGAAAUCCCCGGGCUCAACCUGGGAAUUGCAGUCGAGACUGUCAGACUAGAGUGUGGGAGAGGGUGGUGGGAAUUCCCGGUGUAGCGGUGAAAUGCGUAGAUAUACGGAGGAACAUCAGUGGCGAAGGCGACCGCCU
rnacentral:rRNA from 1 species